CUGCCAAAAAUAGGGAAAAUGAGAUAUACGUACACAUGCAGACCUGAGCAGUGGGCCAUGUCUCGCGCAGAUGAUGAAACGCCGUCGAAGAGUGGGAACAGAGCCGUGGCUCGAGACGUCAAUGUCGUCCUGAUCCGUGCCUCAGGUUUUCUGCUUUCCUAGUAACUGCGAGAACCAACAGUAGCCGAGUAAAUGCAAAGGGGUCGCUGGGAGCAGUUGUCUUCUACCUCAUGAGAUUGGAUCCUUCCUUUGUCGGCGAUCUCGGCGACCUAUGGCGUGCGAGAAGAUGCCUGCGGCAACCCGCGAAGAUGGAGUUCUUUGAUGCAGCCCAUUAAGAGACGGCAGACCUCCCCAUGGAGCCGCUUGGGCUGCUGCCCAUGACGGCAGCAAGUGCGGACGGCCAGAUCUGUGCCGCACUAAUGGCGGCGGGGACAGGGAUUGAAGAUUCCGCUCAAGCAAUCUGUAGAGCAGAUCGACCUCAAAGCUCCUGGGUGAAUGCAAAGGUAUGGCUUUGUGACGAUUUAGAUUCUGUGUGACAUAGUUCGUGGUGUGUGUUUGAAUGACCAAGAGUUGAAACACUUAAUGGUUACAUUUGCACUAUGGCUGGUGCGCUGUGAGCAAAUAAUUGAUUUCCUGUAUGGUGUUUGUGCCUGCGUGCUGCUUGAGCCAGGCUGAAUUUUUAAUCAGGGAGUAAUUUAGAGUCUUUGUUGUAUGUGAUAGCUCGGCAAUCUAGUUUUUGUCUGGCUUUAUGUUUGCAUCGACUAUUUAUGUUUGAACACUGUGAUUUACAUUUGGAUGAGGAGAGUAAUUUGCAUUUGUUCGUUAUCCAUUUCUGUCUGAACACCGUGAUUUACACCCAGAGUCAGAAUUGGGGUUGCCGAGCCAGGCAGGGCGCCAUGCCCUAAUAGGAUGAUUUUUGCAUUGGAGAAAAUGGGGAGACUUAGUGAAAGUGUUCUGGCCGGUUUCUGGGAUACUCAUGAAACUGUCGUGCAUUUGCAAUUUUAUCAAAAAAUAGUGUUAUUUGCUCGCAGAGUUAGGAUUUAUGCUGCCGCGGCAGGCAGGACACAGUGUCUGGUAUUUUUGCAUUGGAGAAAGCAAUCCGUGGUUCUGCUAAAAAUCUUGGAUAUAAUGUAAUUGUGCCAAAAUUGGGGACAAGUUUUGAUACUUCGGAUGAAGCCUAUGAUCUUCACAACAUAUACUCUUGGGAGAAAGGAUUUGGCAUUAGGUACGACAAAAGCAGGCUGAACGUGGAGAGGACGAAAUGCAUGCAAGAAAUAGUCUGUGGCCGUGCUGUAUGUAAAAAAUGCUUUUGGUAUUGCUGAACACUGCUAGCUACUGAAUUGUUCAUUACUAAACUUAUUUCUCAUUGUGUACAAAUGGGCAUCAGGGGAAGGCGUUCGUGGAGAACACUAAGUCUUGUCGUUGUGAGUGCCCUGCUCUGAUAAGGCUGCAGCGUUUCAAUUCCAUGGACAACGGUUGGUACAUAGCAGAUAAAAGGUGCCAUACAAAGGUUUCAUCAAGAAAAUAAGAUUUUGAAUCAUUUAUUGGCGGCAGAGCACAAGCAGACGACAUGCACAGAUUGUGGAGAUGUUCCAAACCAAGCUCGGAAACCUGCACACCGCAAGAAUUGUGGGGUAGAAGGUCACGGUCGAAACAACUAGAACAAAAGACCGGAGCUAAGAAUGAAUGGAGGCUGAUUUGAAAAAAUAGUGUUGAAAUGUGCUCGUGUAGUUUGAAUGUUGCGUGUUUGGAAAAUCUUCAGUUAUGUUGUACUAUUACUUUGACUAUGCCUGUAAACUGUCCAGACAAAAUUGUUUCUGCAUGUUUCGAAUCGGAGAUGUGUUGUGACAUUACAUUAGUUCCAUAUUUUUUACAGGCAGUUUCCUGAAUAAAACAGUGGUGGUCUUAA